GAUGAACGCUGGCGGCGUGCCUAACACAUGCAAGUCGUACGAGCUCGAUCUUCGGAACGGGUUAGUGGCGCACGGGUGAGUAACACGUAGGUGACCUACCCCAGAGUGGGGGAUAACUUCUCGAAAGAGAGGCUAAUACCGCAUACACUCGGUCAUUCAUUUGGCCGAGCAAAGCUCCGGCGCUUUGGGACGGGCCUGCGUCCGAUUAGCUAGUUGGUAGGGUAAUGGCUUACCAAGGCUUUGAUCGGUAGCUGGUCUGAGAGGACGAUCAGCCACACUGGCACUGACACACGGGCCAGACUCCUACGGGAGGCAGCAGUGAGGAUAUUGGGCAAUGGGCGAAAGCCUGACCCAGCAACGCC
rnacentral:rRNA from 1 species